rnacentral:lncRNA from 1 species
GGACGAUGGGGGGAAGGCCUGAGCGUGCGCUACACGUGCGCCUAAAAUAAAUAAAUAAAGAAAAAUGAAAUUGGGGAAAGAGAGUUGCAGGGAAAACUAGGGAAAGAGAAGGGGGAGGUCGGGUGGGGAAGAAAGAAGAAAAAAGGAAAAGGAAGGGGGGAGUCGGUGGGGUAGGUAGGGGUUUUAUUUUUUUAUUUUAUUUUAAUUUUUGUUCUUUUUUCUUUUAAAAAUCCUAGUAAUUUUUUUAAAAUUUUCACCUAAUUUUUAAUUUUGUAAUAUUAGGAUUUUUAUUUUUUUUGUAAUUUAUUUAGUUAUUUAAAUUCUGUAUUUUUUUAAUUAUUCAAAUUAUGUAAUUUUUAUUUUUAAUGUAACGUUUAAUUUUAAUUUCAAUGAAAAUU